rfam:Capsicum annuum cultivar Zunla-1 chromosome 10, whole genome shotgun sequence
ACCUCAUGGUUGGGACACUGAAUAACCUUUCCAUUAAAUCUCUCCCAUAACUCAUAUAAAGGUUCUCCAUUUAACUAACAAAAGUUUAUGAUUUUGUUAUGUAAUU